rnacentral:ribozyme from 14 species
AUUACCUUUUUUUUUUUUUUUUUUUUUUUUUUUUUUUCUG